AUGGAAUCGAGCAAUGAGCAAGCAUCAGGAAUUGUCGAGGCAAAUCUCAACAAUGAACAAGAGCACAAUGAUGAGGGCAUGGAAGAAACGGAGGAUUAUAGUUUCGAUGGAGAAGAAUAUCGGCACUUCGUACCGCGAGGAAGAGGUAGCUUCAGGGGUCGUGGCAGAGGUGGUUUUGAUUUCCCGAUGAGAGGCGGUCCUCCAAGGUUUCGAGGCAGAGGCUUUGGUCCAAGGGGUCCGAUGUUCCGUGGGGCUAACAAUGGAUAUCCGUUUGAGGGUCCACCACGACCAAACUGUCCACCUGGUCCAGCUGGUCCACGUUUUAGAGGGCCUCCACCAUUUGAUCCAAGCUGGGGACCUAUGGGACCACCUAACAUAAUGGGACCACCAAAUCUUAUGGGACCACCAGGAAUGCCACCACCGCAUAUGAUGAAUGGUCCCAUUGGGACAGGACCGGGACCGUAUGGGCCACCUCCUGGAAUGGGACCACCCAAUAUGAAUAGCAUUCCAGGUCAACAACAAAACCAGCAGCAACAGAGUCAACCACAAGCAAACAUUCCAGGACUUGAUCUUAAUGGAGAAGUUUGGGUAGAAACUAAAACACCAGAUGGGAAGUCAUAUUAUUAUAAUAUUCGAUCUAGAGAGACAACAUGGACAAAGCCUGAGGGAUCAAAUGUAAAAGUCAUGGUGCAAGAUCAGCUAGAACAAUUAGUACAUGGGGCAUCAAAGCAAACAGCCCGUGCUACCACGCCUACUUCCACACCUACUACUCCAACACAAGUUAAUGAAAAUAGAGUAUCUCAAAGUAAUGAACAGUCCUCCUCUAAUAAUGCAGAUGCAUUGAAUCAGAUGAGUACUGCACCUCCAGGUACAGGACCACCACCUUCUCUGAAUGAUGCUCCAGAUGUCAGUACACAAGCAUCAGAUUCAAAUCAAACUAAUGGAUCAGUACCUGCAACAGUUGCAAAUGCACCAACGAUAAAUACAUCAACCAUAAAUACGAAUAUAAUGCAGCCACCACCAAAUAUGAUGCCAAUGCAACAUAGAAUGCCCAAUCAGUUUGGUGGUCCAAUUCCAACUCAAUUUGGUACAGCUCCAUUUGGCAUGCCACCACCAGGAUUUCAACCAUUUGGUGGUUAUGGUCCACCACAGACAAAUUGGGGUAUGCCACAAAUGCCACAUGGUGUAAUGACUUCCCAAGCUCCUGCCGAAGAUCCAGCUAUAUUAGCACAACUUGAUUCUGAAUUAGUUGCAUCAGCCAUGAUUUGGACAGAGCACCGUGCUCCAGAUGGUAGACUAUAUUAUUAUAAUAGUAAAGCAGGAGAAUCUGUGUGGGAAAAACCACAGGCAUUGAAAGACUUAGAAAAUGCAAAAUUAGCACUUCGGCAAAAAGCAGAAGAGGUAUCAACUACCACUUCUACCACUACUGCAACUACCUCCAGUACCAGUAAUAAUAAAAGCCCUUCUGAAGUUAAUAAGCAAGAAGUAAAACAAGAGAGUACUCAUGAUACCAAAGAUAAUGCAAAAGAAACUGAAGCUAAACCCAAGAAAGAAGAGACAUCUUCGAAGGAAGCAGUUAAACCUCAGGAUAAAUCUAGACCAAUAUCCAGUACACCCGUACCAGGAACACCAUGGUGUGUCGUAUGGACUGGUGAUGGACGUGUCUUUUUUUAUAAUCCCUCGUCAAGAAUUUCUGUAUGGGAAAGACCAGAUGACCUUAUCGGCCGUCAAGACGUGGAUAAGAUGACAUCUACGCCACCAGAUGCAGUCGGAACACCAAAACCUAUACGGCAGUCGGAUACAAGUGAAAGUAGUGACGAUGAUCAACCAACUCCAGCUAAGAAAAUUAAACAAGAAGAGCCUAAACCUGCUACCGUAAAAGAGGAAGAGGACAAGGAUGGUAAGAAAACGAUCGACAUUGGGAAGGAAGCAGCGAUCGAAGCUGAAGUGAGAGCAGCGAGAGAAAGGGCGAUUGUUCCGCUUGAAACUAGGAUUAAAUCGUUUAGAGAUAUGCUUGCAGAGAAGGAUGUAUCGGCAUUUAGCACAUGGGAAAAAGAGCUUCAUAAAAUCGUGUUCGAUCCACGUUACUUGCUUUUAACGUCCAAAGAAAGGAAGCAGGUUUUUGAAAAGUAUGUGAAGGAAAGAGCGGAGGAAGAAAGACGUGAAAAAAGAAAUAAAAUGAAAGAACGUAAAGAACAAUUUCAAAAACUUUUGGAAGAAGCUAAUCUUCAUGGGAAAUCAUCAUUUAGUGAUUUUGCACAAAAGCAUGGGCGUGACGAACGAUUUAAGAAUGUGGAAAAGAUGCGUGAACGGGAAAGCCUCUUCAACGAGUAUCUUCUGGAAGUCCGAAAAAGGGAAAAAGAGGAGAAAACCGCCAAGCGAGAGCAGGUGAAAAAGGAAUUCAUAGCAAUGCUACGUGAGCACAAAGACAUUGACAGACAUUCGCACUGGAGUGACUGUAAGAAAAAAUUGGAAUCUGAUUGGAGGUACAGAGUCGUAGAAUCAGCAACCACUAGAGAAGAUUGGUUUAGAGACUAUAUUCGUAUUCUGAAGGAGGAAAGGAAAAAGGAAAAGGAGAAAGAUAAAGAUCAUCGGCACAGAGAUAAAGACCAUCAUAAAUCAGAGAAGAAGGACAGGGAUCGGAAGGAUGUGGAUAAGUAUAAAGAAAAAUCUAAGGACAAAUCUGAUAAGGAUAAUAAGGAAAAGAAACAGAAACGAACAGAUACUGGAACUGAAGAAAAUGGCAAGGAGAAAAAGGAAACGGUUGAGAAAGAAAGCGGAGAGUUAGAAGAAAGUGAUGAAAAAAAUACAAAAAAAGAAAAUGAUAAGGAAGAAGGUGAUGAUCAUUCCGAUUCCGAGGAAGAUCGCGAGAAACAGAAGCGAGAACGCGAAAGAAGGGCAGAGGCAAGUUUACGAGAAAGAGAAAGAGAAGUACAGAGAACAUUGGCUACACAUCUUCGAGAUCGUGACAAAGAAAGACAGCAUCAUCGCCAUACGGAAGCUGUUCAACAUUUUAGUGCACUUCUUGCUGAUCUGGUGAGAAACGGUGAUCUUGCGUGGAGAGAAGCGAAACGACAAUUGAGGAAGGAUCAUAGAUGGGAAUUAGCGGAGAGUUUAGAUCGUGAAGAAAAGGAACGAUUGUUUAAUGAACAUAUCGAACAACUUGGUCGAAAAAAGCGAGAUAAAUUUAGAGAGGUUUUAGAUGAAGUAGGUGCUUCGACCGAACUAACAGCAUCUUGGAGAGAUAUUAAAAAAUUAUUAAAAGAUGAUCCUAGAUAUAUUAAAUUCUCAUCUAGUGAUCGGAAAUGUGAAAAAGAAUUUAAAGAAUACAUAAAGGAUAAACUUGUUGCGGCUAAAGCAGAUUUUAGAGAACUCCUGCAGGAAACAAAGUUGAUUACCGAUAAGACGUAUAAAAAGGUGCAAGAAAAUAGUGCUUGCCUAGCCGAAAUCGAAGAAAUUUUGAGGAAGGAUCGACGUUUUCUCGUAUUAGAAGCGGCAGCUGCUGAACGAACGCGACUAUUAAUGGGAUAUUUGGAAGAAUUAGCACGAAGAGGACCACCUCCACCUCCCACAGCAUCUGAACCAUCAAGAAGACCAACCACGAAUUAAAACAUUUGAAUCAACAAGUGAAAACAUAAAUGUGGUGCCCAAAAAGAAAAUGAGUUAUUGAAUCUAUUGCUAUAGUUGGAUUGAAGUACUUUACACGCAAGGUGAUAAUCGUAUGUAAUUAUAGGUAUCAAUAAAAUAACACCAAUUCCACACAGUUAAACGUGUGCCGUGUUAUACAGAGUACUAAGUUACAAUCUGACUUAUCCGUUGAGAAUCAUAUAAGGCAAAAAAGUGUAUUAUGAAAAUAAAUACAUAGGCAAAACUUUAGAAUGCAUGAGAUGAACACUCAACUCAGCUGUGUGCGUUUGAAAUUGUGUAACUGAUGAUAAUUUAUUAAUUAUUUAUGUUAGAAAAUAAUUUCUUUAAAGAAACGUGUACCAUAAGGCAAUUUAUGACAAUCAGAUGAGGUAUAUUUUUUAAACGCACGAUUAUAGAAGAUCUUUCAAAAAGUUAAGUUAUUUGAACCAGUUAUACAAACACAGCGUAAUAAAUGUAAGUAUAUGAUAAAAAAAAGAUUAAAAAA